rnacentral:rRNA from 1 species
UACGGAGGGUGCAAACGUUGCUCGGAAUCAUUGGGCGUAAAGCGCACGUAGGCGGCCUGAUAAGUCGGGUGUGAAAGCCCUGGGCUCAACCCAGGAAGUGCACUCGAAACUGUCAGGCUUGAAUAUGGAAGAGGGUCGCGGAAUUCCCGGUGUAGAGGUGAAAUUCGUAGAUAUCGGGGAGGAACACCUGUGGCGAAAGCGGCUCACUGGACCACAACUGACGCUGAGGCGCGAAAGCUAGGGGAGCCAAACAG